GUCCGAAUAGCUUAAUGGAUAAAGUAUUCCCCUCCGAAGGGAAAGAUAGGAGUUCGAUUCUCCUUUCGGACG
rnacentral:tRNA from 1 species